GCAAGCGCUUGGUUGGAGUGUUCAACUGAUCCUAUCAACGAAAAUGAAAAGAAGGGUGAAAAGUUCUGGGAUGAUAUUGCUGCUCUAUAAAACAGUACCACACCAAACAAUCGAAAGAGAGAUCCCAAUCACCUGAAGCAAGAGUGGCAAAGGACUAAGAAAAGGCUCAGUCUUUUCCAUGGUGCGUGGGUUGCUGUAACUAGUGUGUAUCAUAGUGGUUACAAGCCUGAAGACCUGGAGAAAUUGGCCUUGGAGAAGUAUGAAGCCAACAACGGCCAUCCUUUCCAACAUUUGACUCUCUGGGCAAAACUCAAGGCUGAAGGGAAAUGGCUAUCGUGUUACAAUAAAAUGAAAGGGAAUGAAGAAAAGAGUCCAUCUGCAGGGACCAAUCUUGCAACAAAUGCAGUCGAUUUGGAGGGAGAGGAGCGCCCACCUGGUCGUGAUACAGCUAAGGUUGAACGUACAAGCAAAGGCAAGUCAGGUGUCUCGCAGGAACUUGGAGAAAGAUUAGAUAAGUUCAUUGAGGUUAGCAAUCAAUCCGCGGAUGAUCGCCAGAAGGUGAUAGAGAGCAAGUUGCUUCUUUCAAAUCGACAGCUUGAAACUGCGAAGAUCAAUAGCAGGACGAAACUGAUGGAUUCUUAUACCAAUCUGCUGUUAGCUGACACAUCUAAGAUGGAUGAUUUUGAAAAGGCUCGGCGAGUUAUUGCCCUGAAGCAUAUGCAGACCACAUUAUUUCCAGAUUCAGGUAAUUUUCUUGGUUGA
rnacentral:rRNA from 1 species